UGGACAGAUUAUUAUAUUCGAUUGUGUUCACGACGUGAAAUAGGGAAAACGGAAAGUGAAUCAAUUAACAUAAUAGACUUCU
rnacentral:pre_miRNA from 1 species